CCUACGGGAGGCAGCAGUCGAGAAUCAUUCACAAUGGGGGAAACCCUGAUGGUGCGACGCCGCGUGGGGGAAUGAAGGUCUUCGGAUUGUAAACCCCUGUCAUGUGGGAGCAAAUUAAAAAGAUAGUACCACAAGAGGAAGAGACGGCUAACUCUGUGCCAGCAGCCGCGGGAAUACAGAGGUCUCAAGCGUUGUUCGGAAUCACUGGGCGUAAAGCGUGCGUAGGCUGUUUCGUAAGUCGUGUGUGAAAGGCGCGGGCUCAACCCGCGGACGGCACAUGAUACUGCGAGACUAGAGUAAUGGAGGAGGAACCGGAAUUCGCGGUGUAGCAGUGAAAUGCGUAGAGAUCGAGAGGAACACUCGUGGCGAAGGCGGGUUCCUGGACAUUAACUGACGCUGAGGCACGAAGGCCAGGGGAGCGAAAGGGAUUAGAUACCCGUGUAGUC
rnacentral:rRNA from 1 species